UAUAGCUUACAAUUUUUAAACAUUUAUUGCUAAUGGAAAACUUUACCAAUCAAGAAUUGGCGGAUAUGCAUUUGGCAUAGGGAGCAACAAACUGCAAUGCACGAGCAGCAUCGCAGUUGUAUCAUAAACGUUAUCCCGAACGACAGCAUCCUGGAUACAAAAAGUUUAUUGGUGUUUUAUCGGACUGGCAUGUUUAAGACCAAGAUGCAUGAUAAUGGUGUUGCUCGAACCGUAAGAACGGUCGAAUUUGAAGAAGAGGUGCUGCAGCGAGUUGCCGACGUCGCUAAAAAUAUGAAUACGAGUAACGCUUCUGUCUGGCGGGUACUACACAAGCAACAACUCCAUCCUUACCACUUCCAGAAAGUUCAAGGUAUGACUGCAGCCGAUUAUCAUCCUAGAGUUCAAUUUUGUCGAUGACUUCUGAAUCACAUCAUUGCACAACCAAAUUUUUUUACGAUAUGUUUUGUGGACCGAAGAAGCCUCUUUCACAAGAGACGGUAUUUUUAAUAGUAGGAGAUAAUAGAGAAGUAAAUCCUUAUGCAAUUUUUCCAAGAAAACAUCAGAAUCGUUGGUUUAACAACGUAUGGGCAGGCAUUGUUGAUGAUUAUUUAAUUGGGCCAUACCUUCUGCCGGAACGGUUAACAGGACCUAUUUAUCUGCGUUUCUUGGAGAAAGUUCUCCCAGAACUCCUUGAAAAUGUUCCACUAAACGUUAGACAGCAAAUGUGGUUUCAGCAUGAUGGAGCGCCGGCUCACUUUGCUAUACAAGUACGCGAGUAUUUGGCUCAGCGGUUUGGACACCAUUAGAUUGCCAGAGGUGGAGCAGUUUCUUGGCCUCUUAGGUCACCCGAUUUAACGUCGCUCGAUUUUUUCUUGUGGGGAGAUGUAAAGUCUUUAGUCUAUGAAACUCCAGUAGAAUCAGAGCUAGACUUAAUUGGACAAAUAACAGCAGCAUUUGAAAUCAUUCAAAACGAGGAUCAAAUUUUUAGUGUAGUCCGCCGAAAUCAUGUGUGGCGUUUAAAUCGGUGUAUUGAGGUUGGAGGAAAACAUUUUGAACAAUUGUUGUGAUGGUAUCAUAUACAAAAGGGCCGUAGGAUUCUACUGUUGCACUGAACAACCCCUAGAAGUUUGAUCCCAUACUUCUGAAACACCCUUUAUAGACAGAUACAAAUAAAUUAUGAGUGAUGUAUUGAAAAACCAUUGAUGGAAUAUUUUCUCGGACUUGACAAGAAAAACCCGAUAUUGACCUUUAAACCCGCACUGACUAUAUAUUUCCCCAAAGAAAAAGUACCAACAAGCUUCUAAAUAGAGCAGCUUCGGUACUAAUCGUUUAUUUCUUUCUUGUACUUAAAGUAGGAUAAGUAUUUUGUAUUUAAAUUUUGUAAUUUUGGAAAUAAACGUGAUAUAGUACA